AUUUGUUACUUAAAGAAAAUUAAAAUAAAAACACAAAUUAAAAUUAACUCACUAAAAAGAAACUUUAUCCAAUCGGUGAUGAAAAGUUAACAUAAUAAACUUUAAGAAAAGCAUAUAUUGUAAUAAUAUCAUCAUGGAAAGCACACAACAAUAACAAAACUUCAAUGAAAAUAGCAUAAGCUAAUUGGAUGCAGCGGAAACGAACUUCGAGAGAACACAUUAAAUGCCUUUUAGCUUUCAAGUAAGAGCUCAAAGUGAAGUAUUAAUAAUAACAAUAAGGCAUGAACAUUAAGAGAAUUGAGCAGAAUAUACGAAAGGCAAUUAUGCACAUUGAAAAAUGCAAUGGUGAGUCAGUAAAGUUAAACUGUAACAUUAACAAGCAUUCAACAUUAACAAGCACAUCCUCGUGAAUUUCAAAUGAUAGUAAAUGAAAAAAAACUGCAAGGAAAAUAACUGUGCACACCCCGCGGGAAUAAACGUUCAACCGUAACCUUCCAUGCUUUCGUCUCCUACUUCCAAUGUAACCGUCUUCUCUGGCGGCUGUGUCCUCCCUCCCUUCCUUUUUAAAAAAAAUCCUCUAACCUAGAAGUAAGUGCCCCCCUCCCCGUGUGGGCCAUGCUGCCUCCUCC
rnacentral:lncRNA from 1 species